CCUACGGGAGGCUGCAGUGGGGAAUAUUGGACAAUGGGGGCAACCCUGAUCCAGCCAUGCCGCGUGUGUGAAGAAGGCCCUCGGGUUGUAAAGCACUUUCAGUGAGGAAGAACGGCUGGUGGUUAAUACCCAUCAGGAAAGACAUCACUCACAGAAGAAGCACCGGCUAACUCCGUGCCAGCAGCCGCGGUAAUACGGAGGGUGCGAGCGUUAAUCGGAAUUACUGGGCGUAAAGCGCGCGUAGGUGGCUUGAUAAGCCGGUUGUGAAAGCCCCGGGCUCAACCUGGGAACUGCAUCCGGAACUGUCAAGCUUGAGUGCAGGAGAGGAAGGUAGAAUUCCCGGUGUAGCGGUGAAAUGCGUAGAGAUCGGGAGGAAUACCAGUGGCGAAGGCGGCCUUCUGGACUGACACUGACACUGAGGUGCGAAAGCGUGGGUAGCAAACAGGAUUAGAUACCCGAGUAGUC
rnacentral:rRNA from 1 species